AUUGAACGCUGGCGGCAGGCCUAACACAUGCAAGUCGAGCGGAUGAAGGGAGCUUGCUCCUGGAUUCAGCGGCGGACGGGUGAGUAAUGCCUAGGAAUCUGCCUGGUAGUGGGGGAUAACGUCCGGAAACGGGCGCUAAUACCGCAUACGUCCUGAGGGAGAAAGUGGGGGAUCUUCGGACCUCACGCUAUCAGAUGAGCCUAGGUCGGAUUAGCUAGUUGGUGGGGUAAAGGCCUACCAAGGCGACGAUCCGUAACUGGUCUGAGAGGAUGAUCAGUCACACUGGAACUGAGACACGGUCCAGACUCCUACGGGAGGCAGCAGUGGGGAAUAUUGGGCAAUGGGCGAAAGCCUGAUGCAGCCAUGCCGCGUGUGUGAAGAAGGUCUUCGGAUUGUAAAGCACUGUAAGUUGGGAGGAAGGGCAGUAAGUUAAUACCUUGCUGUUUUGACGUUACCAACAGAAUAAGCACCGGCUAACUUCGUG
rnacentral:rRNA from 1 species